GGUCCCUUAGCUCAGUUGGUUAGAGCGUGGUGCUAAUAUCGAUACGCCAAGGUCACAGGUUCGACCCCUGUAGGGACCA